CCGAUGAGGUGGAAACGGACAGAGCUGGCGUAUCUGGCCUGCAUUCAGCCGCUGCGCGUCGGGCCCCGGUUUGCCGCACUCCAGAUUGGGAAGGUGGCUGGGCUGCUGGCGUGCUGGUGGUGCAUUUGCAGGUGGAGUGCGCCGAGGCGCCCGGUUCAGCGGCAUGAGCUCGGCUUUGAGGCCAGUCGCGCAAGCGGUCUGGUACCCGGGUCGGGGGAGUGUUGUUUGGGCUGGGUGUUCGCUGGGGCACAGGUUUCGGGCCCGGGUGGGUGCCGAGCUGGCGGUCGGCGGCGGUCGCGUGCGACACGUGCCAGCAGUCAGUUCGGUCCUGCUCGAGCUCUCUCGUGUCCGGCCUCGGUGUAAAAGCCGGUCAUCUGUCCGACCCGUCUUGAAACACGGACCAAGGAGUUUAGCGUGUGCGCGAGUCAUUGGGUGUUGAAAACCCAGAGGCGUAAUGAAAGUGAAGGUCUGCCUUGUGCAGCUGAUGUGUGAUCCUGGGCGCCGCGGUGCCCGGGCGCAACAUAGUCCCGUCCCGACUGCAUGCAGUGGGGCGGAGACAGAGCGUACGCGCUGAG
rnacentral:rRNA from 1 species